GCUCUACUACCAGGAGCAGAGCUGUAAAGGCUGGACAUCUCAACAAACAGCAUGACAAGAGCAGGGAUGCAGUAAAAUCAAACCUUCCUCCACAGGCAGCUGCAGCCUAGAGAAGAAAAGGAAGAGCACCAUGGGACAGCAAAGUUGGAGGAAGUCACAGCAGGAUCCUGGUGUUCCACCACUUGAGCGCACUGUUUGUGGAGUUUGUUGGAAUUGCCUUUGCUGUAGCCCAAACACAGAGGGAGGAAAAGCCAACGAACAGAAACCAGAGCUGCACCUUUCCCAAGCAAGCAGGGCAGGCUGAAAGGAAACAGCAGUGGGUAUGAAAGAUACAGACCCUGAAGACAUCUAGAUGCAGCUUGAAGUGUCAAGAGCAGAAAACCAUACCCAGAAGGCACUGUUCAGAAAGGAGGGUAUCGUGGGUGAAACACUGGAACAGACAACCAUCACCUAAAAUAAACUUCCCAUCAAA